GACGAACGCUGGCGGCGUGCUUAACACAUGCAAGUCGAACGAAGUGGCGAACGGGUGAGUAACGCGUAAUCAACCUGCCCUUCAGAGGGGGACAACAGUUGGAAACGACUGCUAAUCCCGCAUACUGAAGGAGGGGUUUGCGUCUGAUUAGCUAGUUGGUGGGGAAAUGGCCUACCUAGGCGACGAGCCCUAGCUGGUCGUAGAGGAGGACCAGCCACACUGGAACUGCGACACGGUCCAGACUCCUACGGGAGGCAGCAGUGGGGAAUAUUGCACAAUGUGCGCAAGCCUGAUGCAGCAAUGCCGCGUGUAUGAAGAAGGCCUUCGGGUUGUAAAGUACUUUCAUCGGGGAGCGUUACCCGCAGAAGAAGCACCGGCUAACUCCGUGCCAGCAGCCGCGGUAAUAC
rnacentral:rRNA from 1 species